rnacentral:rRNA from 1 species
CCGGCCGGAGGGGAGGGGUUUGGCGGAGACGCGGCAGAUGUUUUCCGCGGGGCCACGCGGGAGAGGAGGGGCGCGAGACCGGAGGAGAGAAGAGGAAACCUCGAAAGCAAGGCCGGCGCGGAGGCGCGAGCUAGCGGACUCAGCGGGGGAGCGCAGAGGCGCUGGCAGAGGAGGGGGAACAGGUAGUUUAAGAGCUAAGCAAAGCUUAGCGCAAACUAAAGCGAGGAGCAGCGGAGACGGAGGACACGAGCGUCCCCUAAGCCGGGCAGAGCAGGCGGAGGCCCUAGCUAGCUAGCCCCUAAGGCAGCUCGACCAGCCAAAACGGAGACGCAGACUAAACCAGAGCCCACUGGGGUCCCGGCUUCGUUCCACUUAAGCUCCGGGAGCACCUAAGAACAACAUGGCCGACUAGACGAAAACCACAUACACGAGAGUAGGAUCUACGUCUUGGUUCUCCCGGUCGCGAAUCUAGACCUCUCUACUAUGUCUACUUCCCCGCCGCCUCAGGCUGCCUAAGACUAUACUAGUUUAGAAGACCCUACUAGGUUCGAAAGCUGGAGAAUGGUUGGAUCCGACCUUAUGUGCUAGACGUAAGCCUAUUAUGUGUAGUUAGGGAGGAUUAAAUCAAAGAACCAAGUUAAAUCGGAUGAUGUCAUGUUGAGACUAAACCUGUAAAACGACGAAUAGGUCUUUGACCCUAAUGUUUCCCGGAUCACGCUCGGUGAAUAGAAGACCCUAUAGUGAGACAAAUUAAACAAGAAGAGGUGUUAAGUUAAUCAGGGGGUUGUUGAGACUAAAACUAUACGACGACCGAGAGGUCUUUGACCUUAAUGUAUCGGAUCGCCGCCCACCAGGAUAAAACCGAGUCGUACCGCAAAGAAGAAUACCCCUAUUUGAAAGACCUGGAAAGAAUAACUUUAUUAAUAUAGAGUCGUUUGUAAUCAAAGGGACGGAAUCAGUAAGAGUCGAGAACGUCUACCACGGAACGUUCCCUAUAUUAACCUCGAACAGAUGGACUGGAAGGGUCAGCUAUGUCCGAAUGAAAUAAAAUAGAAUUGAGUAGUAGUAAAUUAGGUCAAGAGAGGGAUUGACUUUGUAAAUAUCUUUCCAUAGAACGAGCAACGUCCAGCAUCAAGUGCUUGAGUUCCGUUGGAUGGAAUACGACUCAAACGUCAAGAAGAUUUAGAUAGAAGAGUUAAGGAAUUGAAUCUAAUAUCAUGAUUCUAAAGAAUGAUCCGUUAUAAAGUUUAAGUCUAAAUCGACGCUUCAACGUUUUUACUUCGAAGUUUGAUCACCGUGUAGGAUGUUGGCCUUUUUUUGAGUUUAGAGAAUAAAAUUAGAAAUAAAUUAAGCCGAUGUACAAGUACAGAAACUAAAUCCAAAAACGAAGACGGGAGGUACAGCAACGUCUAAAUAAAACCGGAUUCCGUUACGACCAUCGCUCGGACUUAGACAAUUUUAGCAGACCAAACGGUAGAUGAUGAGAAACACCAAAAUAACCAAUAGACAUGAGAACUAGGGACGCAAUCAGAAGGACGGGUAACGAUAGACAACAAACAUGCACAGUACCACAGUCCAGUCACAGAACUACCAACCAGGUAAACACAACCGAAAGUACCCAACCAACGUCCUGACCUAGACCAUACACCUCUAGGUACCCCACAACAUACAGUUUCCCCUAAACUCCGUCCAGUCUAAACUUACCGAUAGCGAGCACACCAGAAGAGCAAGAGUAGUACUCAAGGUAGUAGUAGUCGAUUAUACUCCACCUAAACUCCAGGAUCAGCUAAGAAUUCGACUAGAGCGAAAACCACACACAAACACGAGGAAAUCUACGUCGUCUUCGUUCUCCCAUCACCAAGACGUUUCUAAUCAGUUUCUCACCUCCUAUAUGUUUACCAAUCUAGAAAGGUCUCCUGAUACAAAACCACAAGUUGAGGUUGAACACUACGCAAAAACCUACUAGAGUUUAAGAGCUAGUAAGACUGAAAAUUGUAUAAGUAAACGCUUCAUGUUAUUAAAUGAGAGGUCUCCAAGACUAAACCUAAUAAUGAUCUUCCCGGUCCGCACGAAACGAAACGACCAUUUGUUGUUUCUUCUUAGUUUGUACGGGACAACUGUUUCAAAAUUCGUAGUUUAACAGCGAUUUAAAGUAGAAAUAAAGAAUGUACUCACUGUUUCAUGUAUUGAGGGUUGUUAAGACUAUCACUAGACAACUACCAACAGGUCUUUAACCUUAAUGUGUCGGAUCACCCGCCAGGAUAAAACGUAGUCGUACCGCCAAGGAAGACACCGAAUUUGAAAAAGUUGGAAUAACUUGAGAGUACUGUAAUCCAAAAGAGACGGAAUCAACCAUUAAGAGUAUAGAACGUCUAUGGCUGUAUCUUUCCUAUAUUGACGUCAAACCUUGACCACCACAACAGCAGGCAGUUGGUAUCGAUAUGAAGGAUAGGCUCUGUCAUAAUGAACAAGGUCGGGUAGUAAACUAGGUACGAAAUCGAUAAAUAUUCAUUGUAAAGGGGAUUGACUUUUAAAUACCUUUCCAGAGAACGAGCAACGUCCAACAUCAACUGCUUUGAGCUCGGGUUGGACUACUAAUUAGACAAACGUCUAGAGGAUUUAGAUGAUCAUAUGGAAGUCAAGCAACGUAGAAUGUAUUGGAUGUUUAAUAGAAUGAUCCAUUAUAAAAUAUUAUGUCUAAGUAUACGUUUCCACGUGCUUAGAUUCCUAUUAGGCUUCGAAAACUGAUUACCGAGUAGGAUGUUGGCUUUCUUCUGAGAACGGUAGAAAGAAAAUUAAAGUAAAUCGAUGAACCGGUACAGAAACUAUAUCCCAAAACGAGGACGGGAAGGACACCAAGGACUAAAAGAAAAAAUCGGGUCUGGUACACCCAUUACUGCGCCUUAGACAAGAUUAUAAAAACCAAACGCUAGAUCGAGAGGCAACAAGCUAAACAAUGGAAAUUGAGAACUAGGGACACAAGAUAACCAGAAGACGUUCACACCAAACGUCCUAUAUUAUCGAGGCAGAGGGGUUUCGUUUUUAAGUACUCUUCCAGAGAACCAGCAACGUCCAGGAUUAACUGAUAAAUCCAGGUUGGACUACCUCAAUAGACAAACUUCUAGAAGAUUCGGGAUGUGGAAACGUUAAGUAACGUUAAACAAGUUGUAUAUUUAAUAGAAUACCUCUGUUAAACUUGUAAGUCUAACUAAACAACCUAUCUAUCUAAGCUUCCAAAGAGACCCCGAAGUCAGAUCUACCCUGUAGGAUGUUGGAUUUUUUGAGCCACGAGAGAUGUUGACUUUUUAAUAGAAUACGACUCAUUAGAGGACUUCUUUGAAGACAACAGAACCAACGGAAAACGAACAUCGUAACUAGUUUGGUACGAACAUCGGUAAGUUUUACACAGUGGAAAAACCAAAGACAACCAGUACGGACGUACCAACUCCUAAGUAUUCACAGAACUCCGUACUGACCUGACAAACCAAGAGGAUAAACUAAAGAGGUACACUCGUCAAACCAAAGACAAGACUCAUAAUAAACCUAAAAACCAACAAGAGGUCGUAAACUCGGAUCCGAACGGGCCUGAUGAAAAACCGAGUUAUUAACCUUACCACGAGAUCCUCUAAGAAGCACUAAGCUAGAACAGUCAUUGAGGAUCAAGAUACGUCUACACCGUAUGUUACUCCUAUUAAGUUUGCUUACAAGUAUUGAAGCGAUUUGGUCCGAAUAGGGAUAGAGGGAACGAUAUAAACAAGUGUACAAAAACUACAACUUGUCGAAAGAGGUUUUACCAAUCCGUCAGAAUACAAGUAACGUCCACAUGAACUGUUAAAAUGUUUUCUUUAGACUACAGUACGAUGCACUAUUAAACAAACCUCUGGAAGACUAAAGUGUACUUUUGGUUAAUCGACAAAUUCAGAGCUCAUAAGUUUGACUAGGCGUCUCCACUUCUCAAGAUUUUCGAACAAAUCCUAGAAGAAAGACCUAUCUCCUCCUGAUUUUGGUGUUGUGAAUAAAACCAUGUCUCCUUCAUGGAUACGAGGUAGGAACAAAACUGAGUAACAGGUCAAGAUUAAUACCAGACUGAAAGGAACUUCUUUGAAAAUUCAUACGGCUAAUGUAAACCCGACAAGUAAUAACUAUCCGUGACAACCUCCAAAAUAACCUUCUAACAUCUCAACCUUUAGGAUCGUUUUGCAGUCAACCACCCCCAUGAACCACUUCGUUUACCUAGCAGACGAAGGGCCUGCCAAACCUGAAGACUAAUUAGGACUAGUACUUCGUAUAACGAACUAAACCAGAAACACCGUCGAAAGUCAAACUUGAACUUAAGUCACCAUCAAACCUCAAUUAUCACACGUGUAGACUAAGAAGGUUAGCAGGACUUCGUAGAAUGAACCAAAGACAAUUAACGGUAGUCAUAGACGAAGUUGAACGUACACCUUAUACUAGAUAGAAAACGAGGCUUAGUUGUUUUACGAUCUUCACAGAGUUUGUUCCCAGGUUGUUACCUUUAUAGUCAAGUAUGAGUUUCAAACAUAUCCCCUAAUAGUUCAAAACUAAACCGAUAAUUAAUGAUGAACCAACGGACAAAGGUCUUCAACCCAAAAUUAUAAUCCGAUGAACAUAGAUAUUAAAAUAUAGAUCGUCGUUAUAGAAAUCGACGUUUAAAUAUAGUAGAUUAUGUACAUGUACUCGAGACAUACGUCAUUUUCUAGAGGUAUAUAAACACCCCAGUGUGAACCUAAACAGUCAGAUGGUUUGAUGUAUGACAACAGG